rnacentral:rRNA from 1 species
UGAGGAAUAUUGGUCAAUGGGCGAGAGCCUGAACCAGCCAAGUAGCGUGCAGGAUGACGGCCCUAUGGGUUGUAAACUGCUUUUAUAUGGGAAUAAAGUGAGGGACGUGUCCCUUAUUGCAUGUACCAUAUGAAUAAGGACCGGCUAAUUCCGUGCCAGCAGCCGCGGUAAUACGGAAGGUCCAGGCGUUAUCCGGAUUUAUUGGGUUUAAAGGGAGCGUAGGUUGUUUGUUAAGCGUGUUGUGAAAAGUAAGAGCUCAACUUUUAGAUUGCAGCGCGAACUGGCAGACUUGAGUGCGCACAACGUAGGCGGAAUUCAUGGUGUAGCGGUGAAAUGCUUAGAUAUCAUGACGAACUCCGAUUGCGAAGGCAGCUUACGGGAGCGCAACUGACGCUAAAGCUCGAAGGUGCGGGUAUCGAACAGG